AACCUAGCACACCUGCGGUGUGUACCUGCGGAAGGAUCAUUACAGAGUUCAUGCCCUCACGGGUAGAUCUCCCACCCUUGUGUAUCUCUUGUUUUUGUUGCUUUGGCAGGCCGUUAGCUCGCCUAACCACCGGCUCUCGGGCUGGUGCGCGCCUGCCGGAGGACCUCCCAAACUCUGUUUGUUAGUGUCGUCUGAGUACUAUAACAAUCGUUAAAACUUUCAGCAACGGAUCUCAGAUCG
rnacentral:misc_RNA from 1 species